rnacentral:lncRNA from 1 species
CCUUUCUCUCCUCUUGGGUGUUCUAUACACCCCUUCUUUGGGAUGUGCAUCUCAAGGUGUUCCAUAUCCAAAUGAGUUUAGGUGCCUCUUCUUUACUGAUUUCUAUCAUCUGGUAGUAGCACAUAGCAAGAAAAAACUCUAGAGAAGAGGAGAAGAAGAAGAUCAAGGAGAAAGAUCAAGUAUUGAUCGCGAUCCAGGCUUCGUUUAGAUUCAGCAGG